ensembl:lncRNA
CUGAUAUUUAGGCUGGGUCAUAAGAGGAUAUCUUAGAAUCUGAGGGAAUCACUGCUCCUGGAAAAAAAGGUGUAAAGAGAUGAGACUAUGCUUCAAAGAUGGAGAGCUGGAUAAGCACAGGGUCAGGGCUGGCUAGAAACUAUUUGGAUAAUUUUGCACCAAUGUAAAUGUAUCAGUGAAAUUUGGAAAACGGAAGCAAGAUGUGAGAGGGUGUAAAAUGUAAAAUGUAAAAUUUGCAAAAACGCAAACUACUGACUCUAUAUUGCUUCAGAAUACAGCCCCAAUUCCACCACACUCCAGAGCAGAGCUUCCCCAGUGGAUUAUAAAUGCCCAAUGAGAUAUUUAUGGUCUCAGUUCUCAGAGUGGAGAGAGCUUGCUGGAUAAAAUGUCUGUGUAUAAGGAACAAUUGAACAUUGAGAACACAGAACCUCUGAAUAGAACCUCAGAACUCAAGCUGCUCUGGGGAUUGGGACUAUCUUCCCUGAAGAGAUAACUUUCAGUUGGCAUUUGGAUGAAGGCAGAGGAAGGAAAGUGAUGAGGGGCUAUUUCUUGGCUCCGAAAACUGUGAUUGUGAUAAGAAGUAUUGUGUUACAAAGAGUCUUCUAUGGACACGACAGAUUUUAUGGGCUAGAGGAGAUUCCAUGCUGCAUGACCCCACCCAUCCACCCUACUGCAGAAGCUGAUAUUGCCAGAGAAGACCAAGGAGAGUGCCUUCUUGCUGUCUUCCUGUGUGAUUUCAACUCUGGACAAGUCUGCCCGAGACCAGGCUUCGUACACAUGUAGGUACUCUGUCAUUUUUCACACCCAAGCAAUCACUGAACCACCGGGUCAUUUUUCAACUGUGAAAUGCAAUUUAAUAAAGUUGCAG